GAUGAAGAACGUAGCGAAAUGCGAUAAGUAAUGUGAAUUGCAGAAUUCAGUGAAUCAUCGAAUCUUUGAACGCACAUUGCGCCCGCCAGUAUUCUGGCGGGCAUGCCUGUUCGAGCGUCAUUACAACCCUCAGGCCCCCGGGCCUGGCGUUGGGGAUCGGCGGAAGCCCCCUGCGGGCACAACGCCGUCCCCCAAAUACAGUGGCGGUCCCGCCGCAGCUUCCAUUGCGUAGUAGCUAACACCUCGCAACUGGAGAGCGGCGCGGCCACGCCGUAAAACACCCAACUUCUGGAUGUUGACCUCGAAUCAGGUAGGAAUACCCGCUGAACUUAAGCAUAUCAAUAAGCGGAGGA
rnacentral:misc_RNA from 1 species